UGCGUAGGCGGGUCUUUAAGUCAGGGGUGAAAUCCUGGAGCUCAACUCCAGAACUGCCUUUGAUACUGAAGAUCUUGAGUUCGGGAGAGGUGAGUGGAACUGCGAGUGUAGAGGUGAAAUUCGUAGAUAUUCGCAAGAACACCAGUGGCGAAGGCGGCUCACUGGCCCGAUACUGACGCUGAGGACAAAGCGUGGGGGAGCGAAAACA
rnacentral:rRNA from 1 species